rnacentral:lncRNA from 1 species
AAUACUUAGAAUAUUUUUAAAUAUUACCUGCAUUAGAAUACUGUGGCCUUUCCCUUCAAGCAGUGUCAUCAUAUAUCAGCAGUCUGCGGAUGAAGAGAGGAAAAGUGAGGAAAAAACUCAUUGGAAGGUGCAGGACCAUCUACUCUAAGGUCAGCUACUGUUUUUCUGCCAUGAAGUGACGGGGAUCUAUCCAGUCUUCUUAAAGACUGGAUCUAAAAGAAGGACCUACCUCUUCCAGCCUUUGCUUGGGUGAGUGUUCUUAGUGUGAGGGAUCAGAGUC